GCUUUCGAUCUACUCCGACAAUGUCCGACCUUAACCUUAACGGUCUAUGACAGGGGCGUUCCACUUGUUGCGUUUGCUGUUGGAGAUUCCUUGUAUCUCAGUGGAAGUAGGCUUGCAUUGUGGCAACGAUGGAUCUAUUAUUGUUUGAAGGAAAGCAAACCCCCUGCCGCAACUUAUGCUUUUACUUAUAACUCUGGACGGAGACACAGCGGAGGGAACAAGAGCGUCGUUACGCAAGUUGCAAGGAAGCUACUUGGAUUGGGCUCCAAUCUUCUAAAUCUGUUCGGUUC